rnacentral:lncRNA from 1 species
UUCCAUUUCUUCAAGUUUCUUUGCAAAAAAGAAAAUAAAAACUAAGCUAUCAAUUCCAGCUCUGUCCAGCCACAAUAACAACACCAAACUCUGGUCCCAUCCUUGUUUCAAACAUUAAAACCGAAAAAUGAAAGGAAAGAGUUCAACCUAUAACACCCACAAAUCAUCUUAAGUUCUCUUCAACCCAAAACUCACAUAGAACUCCAUUUUUAUCAUCCAACCAAGUAAAAUGCAAGGAAACUGUGAGCAACUGCAGUAAAAAUAUAAAGUUACUCAAACCCAACAACCACCAUGGAAAUGCAAAGACAAGCUCCAAAGCUCAAGCUUCAAACAUCAAGAACAAGCAAGUGGAAGUAGAAAUGAAUGGUUUUUCACCACCAAUAAGCUAAGCCAACCAAGAGUAAGUUAAGAGAAGAAGAAAAUCUGCAUCUUAUUCAUUGAAAUGGCCAAAAUCCGAAGCACCAAGCAAGCUCCCCUUAGAGCAUGUUCAUCCAUGAAAACCCUAGGAGAGAAAAGUUCAAAACCAUAAGUAUCAAGUCUCUACCUUUGUGGCUCAGUAUUCUCCCCUCAUAAGACCGAGAAUCCUCCCCAAGGUGGGGUCCACAACUAAUUUAAAACCCUAACUGAUGGGUUGUCGCGGCCCAUACAAAUUUGAUUGCAUAUGACAAAUGCAGUAUAGACUAGGAAGUGACUCCUAGGUCGUCUCUCAAGGACCAAAUGUGGUUCAAGAAUUAGGUCCGACACGUAGUGGGGGGUUUUGAUGAAAGUGUUUUUGUGAAUGCAAAUGAUUAAAUUAAAAUUAAACACAACUUAACAUAAUUGAAAACUUUAAAGUGUAUGAAAAUAUUAAACUAAAUACUGCAACAAAUAAAUAUUUAAGCACAACUAAAGCUAUUAAAAUUGCAACACUUAAUUAGAAAGAUAAAAGAAAGUAAUUCAUGUAAAAUAUUCUAAUGCAAAAAGAAUUAUAAAAAAAAAAAACUAUUAUAAAAUUACCGUGACAUGUUAAGUGAAUUUCCAAGGAUUUCAUUUUAAGAAAAAUAAAGUUGGGAAAUGUUUCCCUCUUACCAAUCUGCUGCACCAUUUGUUUUAAAUUAAAUUCAACCUUCUGUAGUCCAAUACCGUGAGCAUCACAUUCUCCCAAAAUGAAAUGAAAAUUUUUUCUAUCCUAAAUGAAAUCAGCGGAUGACACCUAAUAUGUUUCUUUUCAUUCAUGAAAGCAAAAGAAGUGGUAAUUUCCUUCAGCCGCCGUGACCCACAAAGCAAUGAAAAUAAAUGCAAGAAAAGUAAAAUGUCGUGAGCUUCAUUUCUUCAAUCCCCAAAAUACUGUAGCUGCUAGAAUAAUAAAAACAGUGAGUUGAAUUCAAGCACAAGAAUCAACCUUUCAUCCAAGUUGUCACCGUGACAUUCCAAAAUAAAACAAGAAUAAAGAUGUGAUAAAAUGAUCCCCUCAGGUCGUGUAGCAUUCCCCAUUUCUCAAAUUAAAAAGCAAUUAAAUUAUGAAAUGAAAUCAAUGUCAAUCCAUCAAAGGUUCAUCCAAAAUAAACGUUAAAACCAAAAGAAAGAAAAGAAAGUAGCUGUUGGAACCUUCACUACCAAGCACGGUCCGUUACCUUCCAGCCCAUCAUAGCAUAUCUUUCAAAACAAAAUGCAAAGUCCAUGCGGUGGCAGCAGCUGCUAGCUUGAAUAAAAAUAAAUCUCCAAAACAAAUUGAUGGAGCGCCUUUCUCCUUUUCUUCCAGAAGCACAAACAAAAGCUCCCUUCAACAAUAAAUCAACUCCUUCUUCUACAACGUGGCAACAACAGCUUCUCCCAACAAAAGUGAAUGAAGUCCGCGUGAAAGAAAAGGAAAUUACCGCAUAAUAAAAAAAACUAAACUAAACUCCCUAAUCAAAAUGCUGGAAGUCACCGUGCACUUUAUUUUCAUUCAUCCAAAGUCUCCAAACAUCAACAUGGUUUCCCUCCAAUAUAUCAAGUGUCGGCCACCUCUAAAAAAACGUUCCAGCCUCCUUCCCAAAAUCCAGCAUCAUGAAUAACAUUGCUAACAUCAAGAAAACCUUCCCAAGCCAAGAAGAAAGUGAAACAAAACUGCCAAAAUUGAAAGUGGCGGUUGUGUUCUCUAGGGUGGAUCCCGAGACUGUGCCCUCCCAAUGCAACAGUUCCUACGUGUGGAGGCUCCUUUUGAUAAGCUUCUGGACUUCCAUGAAGCCUAGACCAUCUGGACUUUUCUAAGUGCACCUCUCCUUUAGACUUAACACGUGCCUUUCCCUGCUGGCUUUGCAUUUGCUCACGGGCCUUCCCGUUACCACACGUUCCAAGCUACUGGAUUAAAUGAAUCACGUGCAGCAGAUGUAUGGAAUGAAGGACUGUGGGCUGCAGCGUGGAGUUGAAGUCUUAGGCCGUGAAUUGCUGUAGAGUGUUGCACCUCCUUUGGGUCGUGGCAGCAGCUGGAAUUCUGCCAAAAAGAAU